CCUCACCACAGAUCUGUAGAAAUGUUUCCACUUGCACUGAGAGACAGAAAUAGAAGAAUUCCAUGUCUUUUUGGACAGAUGCCUAGCUGAAACUAUGCAGGGUUUGACUGACAAGAGGAUGUAGUCUUUGCUGAGAGCUCUUUCUUUAAGGUCCCUUUUAGUCUUCGGAAACACUUAAGUAGCUGAAGGAAGAGAGCGUUUAUGCUGGGCAUGCAUUUUGCUGAGUCAAGAAGGACGUAAGUGACUCACUGGGCUGUGUGGGAACCAGGACCAGAAUCCAAUUGGUGCACUAACCAGACAACCACGUCAGCCCAGAGAAACGCCUCAAUUCCAAAUGAGCCACCAGGAGCAGCUGCUGCCUAAUGGCACUUCAGCUUACCUCUAGUUCUCCUGGUCUGUUCUCUGACAUCCUGGAAGAGGUUGGUCUUCAUCUAGAACCAGAACCUCUAAUUCAAUCUCAUUUGAAGAGGAGGAAGCAAUGCAGGUGGCAACUGUCCUGAGAAAAUGGAUUGUAGACAGAGAUGUGCAGAUGUUAUUGUCCUGUUUCCUUGCAGCAGGCAAGUUACUUUUACAUGUUCUUAUUCUUUUCCCUUUAUUGAAGCUGUUAAAUACUAGGUUAUCAUAUUCUCCUGGUACAAAACUACAGGAUUGGAUUGUGUAAUAUUUGGCUUCAAUUAAGUCACUUAAUUUCUGUUUCUUCAUUUCCUAUCUGAAGAGAGAGAUGGCUUUAUUUUCUCUCUUCUCAUUUCAAGCUUAUUUGGGAUUCUUUUAGUGUUUGUAGGGGGAAUAGCUGUAGUUAUAACAGCUUAUGUAGUUAUAUACCCUUGUACCUAAAAGUCCAUGCUUACAAAUAACAGUAACACUGCUGUACUCUGUAGCCAUUUCUUCUGAGCAGGAAAGCCAACACAAGAAAGUGGGACUUUGCUUGAGUGAGGUGAGGCCAUGGAGUAAGUAGAGUCGUCGUCCAAGUCUGACACAUUCAGU
rnacentral:lncRNA from 1 species